CAGGUGUACGGUUUAAUUGGGAAAGUAGCGACGCGAAGAAAAGUUUGCACUGAAGGUCGCGUUUUUAAAGAGAAGUUGUACGGAGGAUUGCGUUUUGUGGAAGUGAAUGGCAAGCCCGUUUGAUUAAUUUGUGGAGAAGCUCUUGCCGUUCUCAAAAAGAGCAAUCUUGAGAGACGUUAGGCUACACCUGCAGACAUGCAAGUUGUGCUACUCUUCAAGGAACGGUGCGAGCAGAGAAACUCAAGGUGUUGAGGAAUAAUCUUGCUGCGCAACGAGCGUCUUUCCUGCGUCUUAAAAAGGAGCUGGACAGUGACACAGGGGCAAGUUACGUGGUGGAGGAGAGGCAAAGCAAAGCGUUCUGCAGUAAAGGAGCCAAGGGCUCGGACGGGCACCCCAGAAUUCCUGAGGCGCAUCGUCAGUUUGAUCUGCACUUUCAAAAGCAACGCUCCAAACGGCAACCUUUCUGUUUUCUACUCCAUGCACCUGAGGGUAAGCAGGUGUAGUAACCUGAGACAGCGUCGCUGUCCCGCUCCCACUGGGUCGCUCCUGUGCAAGCGAUGCUGAACACCGUGCAGUGUUAAGUGGGAGGACACGUGGGCAGAUUCCUGCCUACAACUGCCGCUUCCGGGAUCUCUCCGAAUCGCUGUGGCUUCUGCGCCUCGGGUAUUGUGAGGGGAGCUGUGCUUCGCGCUGGGUAAUUUCCCGAAAAAAUCACGUUUAAAUUUACAUUUUCACAUGUUUCAGACGUGAACUGAAAAUUUCCACAUACCAAAGGAAGUAUUUUCUUGAGCAAAUAAAUUUCAGUCAGAUAACCUUUCUCAGGCUGCAUAGGAUAAAGAGUGACAUUCUCAAUGUUUUAAACAUUAGUCAGACUGUCAGACACAGUUCUUAAUUGGCAAUAAACUUGUGAACAUCUGAAAAGA